CCUACGGGAGGCAGCAGUGAGGAAUAUUGGUCAAUGGGCGUAAGCCUGAACCAGCCAAGUCGCGUGAGGGAUGAAGGUUCUAUGGAUCGUAAACCUCUUUUAUAAGGGAAUACAGUGUGGGACGUGUCCUAUUUUGUAUGUACCUUAUGAAUAAGGAUCGGCUAACCCCGUGCCAGCAGCCGCGGUAAUACGGAGGAUCCGAGCGUUAUCCGGAUUUAUUGGGUUUAAAGGGUGCGUAGGCGGCAUUUUAAGUCAGCGGUGAAAGCCUGUGGCUCAACCCAGGAACUGCCGUUGAAACUGGGGGGCUUGAGUGUGUGUGAGGCAGGCGGAAUGCGUGGUGUAGCGGUGAAAUGCUUAGAUAUCACGCAGAACCCCGAUUGCGAAGGCGGCCUGCCGGGCCAUGACUGACGCUGAUGCACGAAAGCGUGGGGAUCAAACAGGAUUAGAUACCCGUGUAGUC
rnacentral:rRNA from 1 species